GAUUUCAUCUAAAAAAGUCAUCAAUAACAAAGUUGUAUAUCUCAUCAAGAUCUAUAACUUCUAUUUUUGUCAUUCUUCAUCCGACAAAAUGAUUUGUAAGAUUGUUCACAAAAUGUACAUCUGUUAUACAUCUCUUAUAUGGUUUUAUAAGAGAUGUACAUUUUAUUAACAAUCUUACAAAUCACUUUGUCGGACGAAAAAAUGACCAAAAUAGAAGUUAUAGAUCUUGAUGAGUUAUACAACUUUGUUAUUGAUGACUUUUUCGGUUGAAAUC
rnacentral:pre_miRNA from 1 species